AAUUAUACCAAACAGUCAUUAUAUUAAUAAUCUAUUAUCUUUUGAUUCCCUCAAUAAAGAAAAGGCAAAUUCUCAUGCUACUCCAUUAGUGAAGCUAUUCAGUUAACUGACAAGUUAUAUAGUCUUAAUAAUUUUGCAAAUCCCUAAACUCAAAAUGUAGUCUUAAUACAAAGCAGACUUGCAAAAAUUUGCAAUAUAUUUUGCAACAAAUAUGUGAAUUGAAUGUGAUUUUGCUCAUUUUAUUUGAAGCUUGUAAAGCAAUGUUAGCUUCAAUCCUAACUAUUUUAAUUAGUAUAAACAUCAUCCAGAUUCAAAAGCUAAAGAAAGAGCUUCAUUACAAUCAUUUCACAAUUAAGAGAUGAAAUGGACGAUUUCUUCAAAAGACAAUACACGUGCAUGUGCAUGUACCCCAUUGAGUGAACUAAUUGUUCAAUUUUUG
rnacentral:misc_RNA from 1 species